UACGUAGGGUGCAAGCGUUAAUCGGAAUUACUGGGCGUAAAGCGUGCGCAGGCGGUUUUGUAAGUCUGUCGUGAAAGCCCCGGGCUCAACCUGGGAAUUGCGAUGGAGAUUGCAAGGCUUGAAUCUGGCAGAGGGGGGUAGAAUUCCACGUGUAGCAGUGAAAUGCGUAGAGAUGUGGAGGAACACCGAUGGCGAAGGCAGCCCCCUGGGUCAAGAUUGACGCUCAUGCACGAAAGCGUGGGGAGCAAACAGG
rnacentral:rRNA from 1 species